CAUGUGACAAAUCAAUUCACCUUUUGCUACUGAAACUCUGCCAUUCUUUCACAGUGAGUGACAACGCCUGGGUUGGAAAGAGUUUGUAAAAUUUGCUGACUUUUCACAGAUGUCAUUCCUGCCACUGUGA